CAGUGUUUGAUUGACUGCCUCUAGCAGCCAAUACGAAAAUUAUACAUAAGUGAGCGAAAUUAAGUAAAAAACGUACAACUGAACUUUUAAAACAUUUAGUUACUCCUGUACAAGCCUUGGGUCCACAAAUGAUUCGUUUGGUUCUAGUUCUUUCUGUCAUUUUGAUCUUGUGUUUCUACGGAGCCAACGGUGCCAAGAAUGUUGGGACCCAGACCUCCUUUCCAUCAUUCGAUAACCAACCGGAAAAGAAAAUGCAGUUUAGUUUUGGGAUACGUUUUCCACUUUUGGCCAAAACAACGAACAUAGUUUCAAAUUAUCGCGGAUAAACGUAAUCGUAGCUUAGUGUGGAAACUAUGGCAUUAAAUUGUGU